GUGCCAGCAGCCGCGGUAAUACGAAGGGCGCAAGCGUUACUCGGAAUUACUGGGCGUAAAGCGUGCGUAGGCGGUUCGUUAGUCCGAUGUGAAGCCCUGGGCUCACCUGGGAACUGCAUUGGAAACUGGCGGGCUGGAGUGCGGUAGAGGGUGGCGGAAUUCCCGGUGUAGCAGUGAAAUGCGUAGAUAUCGGGAGGAACACCCGUGGCGAAGGCGGCCACCUGGACCAGCACUGACGCUGAGGCACGAAAGCGUGGGGAGCAAACAGGAUUAGAUACCCUGGUAGUCC
rnacentral:rRNA from 1 species